rnacentral:lncRNA from 1 species
CAGAUGUUCCAAGUUUAUUUAUGUUGUUUCAAUACACUGACAAAACACCACAGUUUUAACUUCUUCUCUCUCAAGAGUCAAGAGUCAUUUUAUCUUAAACCAGAGGAUUCUCUUAAAGAACACACAUGCACGCACACGCACACGCACACGCACACACACACACACGGUAAGUACAAAAACAAUUCCACCAAAGUGCAUGUGAAUGAAAGUGCAAACAGGCUUCAUUUUCGAACUCUGGGAUCAUUCUCUCUGCUUCAGAAAUUAAACAGAAAGGUCCUCAGCGCCCUAAGCCAGGGCUGGGCAAGGGCUGGUCGCGGCUGCUGGGGCCAAAGUGUAAGCGGUGUCUGCUGCUGGAGAGCAGGGCAGAGGCACAUAGCAUGGGCACUGGCACCAACCCUCUCCCUUCACUGGGCACCCAGGUCAAGGUGCGAUGAUCUUGUCUGGGGACAGGACGGGGGUGAAGGGGCAGUAGGGCAGAUUUCUUUCCUUCUUUUUAUGUUUUUUUGUUUUUUUUUUUCCCAAAGAGUCUGACGUUGGUGCAGAAAGUGCCGAGGUCUCAAAGUUCAGAGCCUGGGGGUCCUUUUCUCAAGGCCCUAAGUCCACCUUGCCCUUCCUGUGGGCAAGCACUAGAAGUGUGGUUGGUAGAUCCACAUGGCAAAGCUGUCCCAGCCCUACUCGCUAGGACAGGUGAGGUCCCGCAGCACAGCUGUGAGCACUUGCUGCCUCCUCUUCACACCACAAAGCCAGUGAGCAUCUCUCCUCAGUUUCAAAGAGGAGCAAAGCCAAGGAGCUGGUGAGUUUUGCCACCACCCAAGCAACCAAGUCAGAGAGGCUCAGACUCGCUCCUCCUUACUCUUGGCCAAGGGGGCAAUGCAACCUCCGUAAACCCGAGUGUCAGCCAGAGGCAGAGACUGCCCACUUUCCUCUCGGGAAGCCUGUGCUCAGAGCUGCCUCUCGGGGCCGAAGGGAAGGAAUGUCCGAAGCCAGGUGGGAGUUCAGCUGGGUGGCUGAAUGGCUGUGCUGACAAAGCUGUGUGACCCCACGUAAGAGAGGGUCUCCUACUGGACUGUGGCAGGAAAUCAACAGAGCUUUGAGUGUCCCACUUCUGUGGGGAAGAUAAAGCUUCAUAUUUUAACAAUAAUAGCCCUUGACGUUUUCCCAGCAUCAAGCCUCAUAGCUGCACCUGUCAAACACUCCCAAGGGUGCCCUAGGUGCACACACACCAUGUGACUGAGGGAAGCGGCCUGGCUCUGCACCCCACGGGCCCAUCUCAGCACCUGGGGCCACAGAAGCGUGGUUUGGUUGCUCCUCACCUCUGUGUAGGGCCAGCUCCCGCCGGGCCCUCUGCCUCUGCCCCACCCCGGCUGGCCUGGCAGUGGCUCGGUGGAGGCUAGGCCCCCACUUGGACAGAAAGGUCUAAGUCCCAGAGCCCCAGCAGGCACCUGGCUGGCAGUGCAGGACAGACGGAGGGUGGUACGAAAGGUAGGGGCCACAGAGAAUUCAAAGCUAGAGGAAUUCGCCUUCCCAAGGCCCAA